rnacentral:rRNA from 1 species
AUUGAACGCUGGCGGCAGGCCUAACACAUGCAAGUCGAACGGUAACAGGAAGCAGCUUGCUGCUUUGCUGACGAGUGGCGGACGGGUGAGUAAUGUCUGGGAAACUGCCUGAUGGAGGGGGAUAACUACUGGAAACGGUAGCUAAUACCGCAUAACGUCGCAAGACCAAAGAGGGGGACCUUCGGGCCUCUUGCCAUCGGAUGUGCCCAGAUGGGAUUAGCAAGUAGGUGGGGUAACGGCUCACCUAGGCGACGAUCCCUAGCUGGUCUGAGAGGAUGACCAGCCACACUGGAACUGAGACACGGUCCAGACUCCUACGGGAGGCAGCAGUGGGGAAUAUUGCACAAUGGGCGCAAGCCUGAUGCAGCCAUGCCGCGUGUAUGAAGAAGGCCUUCGGGUUGUAAAGUACUUUCAGCGGGGAGGAAGGGAGUAAAGUUAAUACCUUUGCUCAUUGACGUUACCCGCAGAAGAAGCACCGGCUAACUCCGUG